GAUGAACGCUAGCUACAGGCUUAACACAUGCAAGUCGAGGGACCGGCGCACGGGUGAGUCACACGUAUCCAACCUGCCCUUUACGCGGGGAUAGCCUUUCGAAAGAAAGAUUAAUACCCUAUAUAAAGGAUGGAGAUGCGUUCCAUUAGGUUGUUGGUGAGGUAACGGCUCACCAAGCCUUCGAUGGAUAGGGGUUCUGAGAGGAAGGACCCCGACAUUGGAACUGGGACAAGGUCCAAACGCCUACGAGAGGCAGGAGUGAGGAAGAUAGGUCAAUGAGCGCUAGCCUGAACCAGCCAAGUAGUGUGAAGGAUGAAGGCUUAUGGGUCUUAGUCUUCUUUUAUAUAAGAAUAUGUAUUAUAUGAAUAAGGAUCGGCUAACUCCGUGCCAGCAGCCGCGGUAAUUC
rnacentral:rRNA from 1 species